rnacentral:rRNA from 1 species
CCGCGUGGAUGAAGAAGGCCGAAAGGUUGUAAAGUUCUUUUGUUGGGGAAGAAUAACCAUGGGAGGGAAUGCCCGUGGGAUGACAUGAACCGACGAAUAAGCCCCGGCUAACUACGUGCCAGCAGCCGCGGUAACACGUAGGGGGCGAGCGUUGUUCGGAAUUACUGGGCGUAAAGGGCAUGUAGGCGGUCUUGUAAGCUUGGCGUGAAAGACCACGGCUCAACCGUGGGAUUGCGUUGAGAACUGCGAGGCUUGAGUGACGGAGAGGGAGCUAGAAUUCCUGGUGUAGGGGUGGAAUCUGUAGAGAUCAGGAAGAAUACCAAUGGCGAAGGCAAGCUCCUGGCCGAUGACUGACGCUGAGGUGCGAAAGUGUGGGGAUCAAACAGGAUUGAUA